AGAACGAACGCUGGCGGCAGGCUUAACACAUGCAAGUCGAACGGGUGUAGCAAUACAUCAGUGGCAGACGGGUGAGUAACACGUGGGAACCUUCCUAGGGGUACGGAACAACUCAGGGAAACUUGAGCUAAUACCGUAUACGUCCGUAAGGAGAAAGAUUACAUCGCCCCUAGACGGGCCCGCGUCGGAUUAGGUAGUUGGUGGGGUAACGCCGGUACCUAACGACG
rnacentral:rRNA from 1 species